AGAGAGAUUCCAGAGCAGCCCACCAGGCCGGCCCAUCUUCCCCCACAGCCCACCAGACCGGCCCACCUCCUCCUUAACCUAGCGCCAGGGAGAUCCUCUCAUUCGAUCCCCAUCCCCCCUUUGUCCUCCUUCCUCCUGGCGCCGCUACCACACACAAUCACACGCACGCAGCUGCUGCCUCCUGAUCCGGCGUCCCGCGACCUCCUCCGCCUUCGAUUCGGUGCCGCCGGAGGCUACCAGCGUCGCCCAGGUUCUCAACCACCACACCACCGGCCUGCUACCUCACCUCCCUGACCCGAAUUGGCUUGGUUUUGACCAUCUUUGACGCCUCAUUGCCGGAUCUCGCCGUCAAGUCCAUGUCGCCCGCUCAUGCUCCAUCGUCAGGUCAAGUCACUGUCACCCCUUGACGCCUCCUCCUGCUGCGUUCGGGCCCCCCUUGGCCAUCAACUCAAGCCACCACAACCUCGAGUGCUCUUGUCCUCCUGUCGAGAUGUGCUUGCUCCAGCCACUACCACAAGCACCAUGUUUCUUUGCUACCUCCGUGCAUCUCCGGUUGCUUCUCGCUGCACUAUCGCAUUGUUGACUCCCUCGCGGUCCGCCAAGACGCAGCCCGAGGCCUCCAUGCUCGCUGCCAAAUUCCACCUUGGCACAACUUGCACCCAAUGCAGCUGAGAUCCUCGUUGGCAGGGCAAGACCGGACCCGUCAAGUACAUGAUGAUGCAUCAAGUUCCUACGACCCGUGUACGACUACGGGGAUUCACCACGCACCCUUCGGAUGCGCCAAGUUCUACUACAUGGACCGUCAAGUUCAUUUACCGGUGACUCGAACAUCUACGAAAAUGUGUACCUCUACCGCCAUCUUCGGAAUCGCCAAGAACGCAAAGUACCCCAACGCCCGAUGCCUAGAACGACUACCGUCGAUGUGGAUCUGACAAGACCAAGUGUACGACUACCGUUGACAUGGAUUCGUCUAGUUCCUCGAUGACCGUGUACCACUACCGCUCCCCGACUACUUCCUUUUCGACUCGUGAACCACUACUUCCUCUACGAACCCGAACCGCUCCGAGAAUGCACCUGGAAGGUAUAACCGCCGAGACGAUGACCCGUGGAUGAAAGCAUGUGUUGUAUGAGAUGCAUGUUUAGAUGUUGUAUUCGCCCGUGAACAUUAGUUGUUCCUCCUCGUUGCUAUGCCGUCCACUCGUGGGAACCCGGCAAAUGGGAUCACCCCACCAUCUCUAACUUGUUCCACACAUCCGCACACUUCUCUUUUGCAUCGGUAUCUCAAUCGAGUUAUCGGAACCGAUAUGUUUCCCUA